AUACGUAGGGUGCAAGCGUUAAUCGGAAUUACUGGGCGUAAAGCGUGCGCAGGCGGUUUUGUAAGACAGUGGUGAAAUCCCCGGGCUCAACCUGGGAACUGCCAUUGUGACUGCAAGGCUGGAGUGCGGCAGAGGGGGAUGGAAUUCCGCGUGUAGCAGUGAAAUGCGUAGAUAUGCGGAGGAACACCGAUGGCGAAGGCAAGCCCCUGGGCCUGCACUGACGCUCAUGCACGAAAGCGUGGGGAGCAAACAGGAGUAGAUACCCUGGUAGUCCACGCCCUAAACGAUGUCAACUGGUUGUUGGGGAUUUAUUUUCUCAGUAACGAAGCUAACGCGUGAAGUUGACCGCCUGGGGAGUACGGCCGCAAGGUUAAAACUCAAAUGAAUUGACGGGG
rnacentral:rRNA from 1 species